rnacentral:rRNA from 1 species
CCUACGGGGGGCUGCAGUGGGGAAUAUUGGACAAUGGGGGGAACCCUGAUCCAGCCAUGCCGCGUGUGUGAAGAAGGCCCUCGGGUUGUAAAGCACUUUCAGUGAGGAAGAACGCCUGGUGGUUAAUACCCAUCAGGAAAGACAUCACUCACAGAAGAAGCACCGGCUAACUCCGUGCCAGCAGCCGCGGUAAUACGGAGGGUGCGAGCGUUAAUCGGAAUUACUGGGCGUAAAGCGCGCGUAGGUGGCUUGAUAAGCCGGUUGUGAAAGCCCCGGGCUCAACCUGGGAACGGCAUCCGGAACUGUCAAGCUAGAGUGCAGGAGAGGAAGGUAGAAUUCCCGGUGUAGCGGUGAAAUGCGUAGAGAUCGGGAGGAAUACCAGUGGCGAAGGCGGCCUUCUGGACUGAUACUGACACUGAGGUGCGAAAGCGUGGGUAGCAAACAGGAUUAGAUACCCUGGUAGUC